rnacentral:rRNA from 1 species
UACGUAGGGUGCGAGCGUUAAUCGGAAUUACUGGGCGUAAAGCGUGCGCAGGCGGUUUGUUAAGACAGAUGUGAAAUCCCCGGGCUUAACCUGGGAACUGCAUUUGUGACUGGCAAGCUAGAGUAUGGCAGAGGGGGGGUAGAAUUCCACGUGUAGCAGUGAAAUGCGUAGAGAUGUGGAGGAAUACCGAUGGCGAAGGCAGCCCCCUGGGAUAACACUGACGCUCAUGCACGAAAGCGUGGGGAGCAAACAGG